GAAGCUCAGAGGUAGAGAACCUGCUUUGCAUGCAGAUGGUCCCAUGUUCAAUGCCUGGCAUCUCCA